rnacentral:rRNA from 1 species
CAGAAACUACAAAGGAAUUGACGGGGCCCGGCACAAGCGGUGGAGUAUGUGGUUAAUUCGAUGCAACGACGAAGAACCUUACCUGGUCUUGACAUCCCGGAGACCCUUAGGAAACUAGGGGUGCUUCCAUCUGGAAGAAUCUGGAGACAGGUGCUGCAUGGCUGUCGUCAGCUCGUGUCGUGAGAUGUUGGGUUAAGUCCCGCAACGAGCGCAACCCUUGCCUUUAGUUGCCAGCAGUUCGGCUGGGCACUCUAAAGGGACUGCCGGUGUUAAACCGGAGGAAGGUGGGGAUGACGUCAAGUCCUCAUGGCCUUUAUGACCAGGGCUACACACGUACUACAAUGGCCGAUACAAAGGGCAGCGACACUGCGAGGUGAAGCCAAUCCCGUAAAAUCGGUCUCAGUCCGGAUUGGAGUCUGCAACUCGACUCCAUGAAGUUGGAAUCGCUAGUAAUCGUGGAUCAGCCAAGCCGCGGUGAAUACGUUCCCGGGCCUU